rnacentral:rRNA from 1 species
GACGAACGCUGGCGGCGUGCUUAACACAUGCAAGUCGAACGGAAAGGCCUCUUUCGGGGGGUACUCGAGUGGCGAACGGGUGAGUAACACGUGAGUAACCUGCCCUUGACUUUGGGAUAACUUCAGGAAACUGGGGCUAAUACCGGAUAGGAGCUCCUGCUGCAUGGUGGGGGUUGGAAAGUUUCGGCGGUUGGGGAUGGACUCGCGGCUAUCAGCUUGUUGGUGGGGUAGUGGCUUACCAAGGCUUUGACGGGUAGCCGGCCUGAGAGGGUGACCGGCCACAUUGGGACUGAGAGACGGCCCAGACUCCUACGGGAGGCAGCAGUGGGGAAUAUUGCACAAUGGGUGGAAGCCUGAUGCAGCAACGCCGUGUGCGGGAUGACGGCCUUCGGGUUGUAAACCGCUUUCGCUCAUGACGAAGCUUUGUGUGACGGUAGUGGGUAAAGAAGCACCGGCUAACUACGUG